GCGGUUUUGAAGUGGAUUAUGGGUCAAAGAAGCAUGCAACAAUCGUUUGUGCUGCAGUAGCAGUUGAGGAGUUGCAGCCAGGCAAGGUUUAGAGGUCGAUGUCCAUUUCUAAUGGCAAGCUUCAAGUACACUUUGAGGCGAUGGAGUCUAGAUUUCUGUAUGCAGCAUUCAGUGCAUUGGUGGAACUCAUGAUUCUUGCCACAAAAAUCAUGGAAGUAUUUGGCCAGGACAACAAAAAUUCUGAGAAGAUUAGAUUUUAAUAAGCAGCAUUCUGUAAUGCAAGCGGAACAUAAAUUGUAGCCGGUU